CAGGGAAGAAAGGAGUUUGGCUUAAGCUACCACUGGAGAAAUGUGAUCUAGUUCCUAUUGCAGUAAAGGUGCUCGUCGUGCAAGAGAAACAUUCUGCGCUGGCUCUUUCAGGCUUAUGGAAAAUACCAACUGGUUUCAUUCUUAGAUCAGAGGAGAUCUUUACAGGAGUUGUGAGAGAAGUGAAGGAGGAAACUCGGGUAAGAAAUUCACACUUAACAUAUCUCAUACCUAAGUUAGAAAUCUAUAAUAAGCAAUCGUUAUAUAAAUGAUGGUUUUUUCUUAUUAUUUUGAAGUUUAUCCAGGCUUGAAUCGCAACCUUCGAUUUCAAGCUUCGAAUCUAUAGAUUGCAUUAAAUUUGAUUUUCCUUCUCAUUCAUUUGAUUUGCUUCAAUUUGGACCUAAUUCAUCUGAUUCGAGCUAAUAAUCAGCGAAAUUGGUAAAA